rfam:Oryza barthii chromosome 3, whole genome shotgun sequence.
UUUAAGUACAAUUAUAAGUUUCGUGCUCAACUUUGAUCGUCUCUCUUAUUUAAUUUUUUUGUAAUUAAUAUUUUUAUUGUUAUGGAAUGAUAAAACAUGAAUAGUACUUUAUAUGUGAUUUAUGUUUUAAUUUUUUUUUCAAAUAAAACGUACGAUCAAAAUUGUGCACGGAAAAUCAUGGUUGCACUUAAA